rnacentral:lncRNA from 1 species
CAGGGAGCACGUUCCUGAUGGCCAGCAUGCCCUCAAGUCAUUUUCGUCUGCAGAUCCUGAUUCAUCUCAGCCUGUCUCGGCAUGCCACUUCGCCAGACCACUUAGCAUCCCCAACAACACCGUUUCUUCUUGUGUCUCCCAGGUAAAGAUGCAGAUUGUUAUCCAGGGCAAGAUGGUGCAGCAGCCUCAGUGCAAGGAUACGUGUGCGUGUGUAYAACAGGGGAAGAGGAAGAGAGAGAGCAGGGCAAAAGUGCCCUGAACACACCUUUGCACCUCCUCACGUUCUUGGCGUGACCUUGCUAUCAAUGUGAGAAGUUUCACCGUUGUCCUAUUCUGCUUUUUGCAGCAGCCAGGAGUAUCUGGAGCACAGCCUCCUCCUAGCCUGACCGUGACGGUGACCCAGUCCCUACCCAAAGGCUGCUGGGGGCAUGGAGGAGAGCCAUUUUCCCCAUGUAGCCCUGCCUAGGAUCUCGCUCUUCCCUU